GCAGCUGGCACGAGAGUUUCAGGAUUUGACGCAGACUAUUGAGACUGUGGCGGAGAUCACCGCCAAGUUCAAGGAGAGGGCUCUUCUUGUACUGCAGUAUGUCGCGGAUGAGGAGAUGAAGAAGGCUCGGUACCAUGAGAUGUUGAGGGAUGACAUCAGGGAGUUCUUGAGCAGAUCCAGUUGUAAGACGCUUGAAGAUAUGAAUUCUUGGGCUAGAGAAAGGGAAAUUGAUUUGGAGCAAAUCUUGUAAGACGCUGGAAGAUAUGAAUUCUUGGGCUAGAGAAAGGGAAAUUGAUUUGGAGCAAAUCCGGAAGAGGAAGUCGGAUGAGGUUCAGGUAGUUGCGGGUUCGGGCAAAAGGCCCAAGGGAUCGGAUUCGAGAUCGAGGGAUCAUCA
rnacentral:lncRNA from 1 species